rnacentral:ncRNA from 1 species
GAUAACGAGCUGAUCUUCCCCAAGAGUUCACAUUGACAGGAAGGUUUGGCACCUCGACACCGACUCUUCGCAACUUGGGACGAUAGUACAUUCCAAGGGUUGGGUUGUUUGCCCAUUAAAGCGAUACAUGAGCUAGGUUCAGAACAUUGUGAGAUAAUUU